rnacentral:rRNA from 1 species
AUUGAACGCUGGCGGCAGGCCUAACACAUGCAAGUCGAACGGUAACAGGAAACAGCUUGCUGUUUCGCUGACGAGUGGCGGACGGGUGAGUAAUGUCUGGGAAACUGCCUGAUGGAGGGGGACAACUACUGGAAACGGUAGCUAAUACCGCAUAACGUCGCAAGACCAAAGAGGGGGACCCUCGGGCCUCUUGCCAUCGGAUGUGCCCAGAUGGGAUUAGCUUGUUGGUGGGGUAACGGCUCACCAAGGCGACGAUCCCUAGCUGGUCUGAGAGGAUGACCAGCCACACUGGAACUGAGACACGGUCCAGACUCCUACGGGAGGCAGCAGUGGGGAAUAUUGCACAAUGGGCGCAAGCCUGAUGCAGCCAUGCCGCGUGUAUGAAGAAGGCCUUCGGGUUGUAAAGUACUUUCAGCGGGGAGGAAGGGAGUAAAGUUAAUACCUUUGCUCAUUGACGUUACCCGCAGAAGAAGCACCGGCUAACUCCGUG